rnacentral:rRNA from 1 species
GACAGAGGCCUCAAGCGUUAGGCGGAAUCACUGGGCUUAAAGCGUGUGUAGGCGGACUUCUAAGUGCCUUGUGAAAUCCCACGGCUCAACCGUGGAACUGCUGGGCAUACUGGGAGUCUUGGGCCAUUCAGGGGCAACUGGAACAAGCGGUGGAGCGGUGAAAUGCGUAGAUAUCGCUUGGAACGCCGAAGGUGAAAACAGGCUGCUGGGGUUGCGCCGACGCUGAGACACGAAAGCCAGGGGAGCAAACGGG